AGGGUCACCAAUGAGAUGGAUAGUAGUCCAGGACUGCUCCACAGUUGUGGUAGGAUGAUUCACUUGCCUGAUAACAGUUGGGAAGAAACUGUCCCUGAAUCUAGAGGUGUGCGUUUUCACACUUCUAUACCUUUUGCC